AUUAUUAAUUAGUUUGAUAGAAUCACUUAUAGCUUAUACUUGUGUUUCAGUUUAGACGGACCGGUGCCCACCUAAACGUACACAAUCCUCUUCGUCGGCAUCGUCAGAAGUACAUAAGAGACAGGUGUUAGUGGAAGCGUCUGGAAAGGCGCGCGAUACAGGGUGACAGCCCCGUACACAAAAAUACACAUAUUGUGAGCUCGAUGAGUAGGGCGGGACACGUGGUAUCCUGUCUGAAUAUGGGGGGACCAUCCUCCAAGGCUAAAUACUCCUGACUGACCGAUAGUGAACCAGUACCGUGAGGGAAAGGCGAAAAGAACCCCGGCGAGGGGAGUGAAAAAGAACCUGAAACCGUGUACGUACAAGCAGUGGGAGCACGCUUAGGCGUGUGACUGCGUACCUUUUGUAUAAUGGGUCAGCGACUUAUAUUCUGUAGCAAGGUUAACCGAAUAGGGGAGCCGAAGGGAAACCGAGUCUUAACUGGGCGUUAAGUUGCAGGGUAUAGACCCGAAACCCGGUGAUCUAGCCAUGGGCAGGUUGAAGGUUGGGUAACACUAACUGGAGGACCGAACCGACUAAUGUUGAAAAAUUAGCGGAUGACUUGUGGCUGGGGGUGAAAGGCCAAUCAAACCGGGAGAUAGCUGGUUCUCCCCGAAAGCUAUUUAGGUAGCGCCUCGUGAAUUCAUCUCCGGGGGUAGAGCACUGUUUCGGCAAGGGGGUCAUCCCGACUUACCAACCCGAUGCAAACUGCGAAUACCGGAGAAUGUUAUCACGGGAGACACACGGCGGGUGCUAACGUCCGUCGUGAAGAGGGAAACAACCCAGACCGCCAGCUAAGGUCCCAAAGUCAUGGUUAAGUGGGAAACGAUGUGGGAAGGCCCAGACAGCCAGGAUGUUGGCUUAGAAGCAGCCAUCAUUUAAAGAAAGCGUAAUAGCUCACUGGUCGAGUCGGCCUGCGCGGAAGAUGUAACGGGGCUAAACCAUGCACCGAAGCUGCGGCAGCGACGCUUAUGCGUUGUUGGGUAGGGGAGCGUUCUGUAAGCCUGCGAAGGUGUGCUGUGAGGCAUGCUGGAGGUAUCAGAAGUGCGAAUGCUGACAUAAGUAACGAUAAAGCGGGUGAAAAGCCCGCUCGCCGGAAGACCAAGGGUUCCUGUCCAACGUUAAUCGGGGCAGGGUGAGUCGACCCCUAAGGCGAGGCCGAAAGGCGUAGUCGAUGGGAAACAGGUUAAUAUUCCUGUACUUGGUGUUACUGCGAAGGGGGGACGGAGAAGGCUAUGUUGGCCGGGCGACGGUUGUCCCGGUUUAAGCGUGUAGGCUGGUUUUCCAGGCAAAUCCGGAAAAUCAAGGCUGAGGCGUGAUGACGAGGCACUACGGUGCUGAAGCAACAAAUGCCCUGCUUCCAGGAAAAGCCUCUAAGCAUCAGGUAACAUCAAAUCGUACCCCAAACCGACACAGGUGGUCAGGUAGAGAAUACCAAGGCGCUUGAGAGAACUCGGGUGAAGGAACUAGGCAAAAUGGUGCCGUAACUUCGGGAGAAGGCACGCUGAUAUGUAGGUGAAGUCCCUUGCGGAUGGAGCUGAAAUCAGUCGAAGAUACCAGCUGGCUGCAACUGUUUAUUAAAAACACAGCACUGUGCAAACACGAAAGUGGACGUAUACGGUGUGACGCCUGCCCGGUGCCGGAAGGUUAAUUGAUGGGGUCAGCGCAAGCGAAGCUCUUGAUCGAAGCCCCGGUAAACGGCGGCCGUAACUAUAACGGUCCUAAGGUAGCGAAAUUCCUUGUCGGGUAAGUUCCGACCUGCACGAAUGGCGUAAUGAUGGCCAGGCUGUCUCCACCCGAGACUCAGUGAAAUUGAACUCGCUGUGAAGAUGCAGUGUACCCGCGGCAAGACGGAAAGACCCCGUGAACCUUUACUAUAGCUUGACACUGAACAUUGAGCCUUGAUGUGUAGGAUAGGUGGGAGGCUUUGAAGUGUGGACGCCAGUCUGCAUGGAGCCGGCCUUGAAAUACCACCCUUUAAUGUUUGAUGUUCUAACGUGGACCCGUGAUCCGGGUUGCGGACAGUGUCUGGUGGGUAGUUUGACUGGGGCGGUCUCCUCCUAAAGAGUAACGGAGGAGCACGAAGGUUGGCUAAUCCUGGUCGGACAUCAGGAGGUUAGUGCAAUGGCAUAAGCCAGCUUGACUGCGAGCGUGACGGCGCGAGCAGGUGCGAAAGCAGGUCAUAGUGAUCCGGUGGUUCUGAAUGGAAGGGCCAUCGCUCAACGGAUAAAAGGUACUCCGGGGAUAACAGGCUGAUACCGCCCAAGAGUUCAUAUCGACGGCGGUGUUUGGCACCUCGAUGUCGGCUCAUCACAUCCUGGGGCUGAAGUAGGUCCCAAGGGUAUGGCUGUUCGCCAUUUAAAGUGGUACGCGAGCUGGGUUUAGAACGUCGUGAGACAGUUCGGUCCCUAUCUGCCGUGGGCGCUGGAGAACUGAGGGGGGCUGCUCCUAGUACGAGAGGACCGGAGUGGACGCAUCACUGGUGUUCGGGUUGUCAUGCCAAUGGCACUGCCCGGUAGCUAAAUGCGGAAGAGAUAAGUGCUGAAAGCAUCUAAGCACGAAACUUGCCCCGAGAUGAGUUCUCCCUGACCCUUUAAGGGUCCUGAAGGAACGUUGAAGACGACGACGUUGAUAGGCCGGGUGUGUAAGCGCAGCGAUGCGUUGAGCUAACCGGUACUAAUGAACCGUGAGGCUUAACCUU
rnacentral:rRNA from 1 species